rnacentral:rRNA from 1 species
UGGGGAAUAUUGCACAAUGGAGGGAACUCUGAUGCAGCGACGCCGCGUGAACGAAGAAGGCUUUCGAGUCGUAAAGUUCUUUUAUAUGGGAGGAUAAUGACGGUACCAUAAGAAAAAGCCCCGGCUAACUACGUGCCAGCAGCCGCGGUAAUACGUAGGGGGCUAGCGUUGUCCGGAAUCACUGGGCGUAAAGGGUUCGCAGGCGGAAAUGCAAGUCAGGUGUAAAAGGCAGUAGCUUAACUACUGUAAGCAUUUGAAACUGCAUAUCUUGAGAAGAGUAGAGGUAAGUGGAAUUUUUAGUGUAGCGGUGAAAUGCGUAGAUAUUAAAAAGAAUACCGGUGGCGAAGGCGGCUUACUGGGCUCAUUCUGACGCUGAGGAACGAAAGCGUGGGUAGCAAACAGG